CAAAACCAAAGAAUGCUGCAGGAUUCUCCGGAUGUAGAAAUGAUAUUUUCACAUUUUUAUUUCCACUGAUCUCCUCUAGCAGUUUAACAUGAUUUAAAAACAUACCGUUAACCAGAGAUAUUGAAGCAGGGGGGAAGACAACAAAACAAAAUCCAUACAAAAUGGCGUCUACUCAUCAAGCACAACCAAAUCUACAGUCAUGUCUAGAUGGGAUACAGCUUGUGGAAUUGAAGUCCAAAGUAAUUUAACCUAAUUCUCCCAGCCUGCUACGUUAAUUCUUCCAACCUGCUUCGAAAACUACAUUUUGAUAAAAGCUGUAUCCCUUCUAGACCUAGGGGCUCUCAUUCGUUCCUACUUCCUCCCCUCCCGGGUGUACGUUUUGGGUUUUUGCCCUAGCGCAACACAGCCGAUUCAAAUGACCAACUCAUCAUCAAGCUUUGAUGAUUUGAAUCAGCUGUGUAGCUGGGCAAAAACCCAAAACGUACAGGAAGUAGGAAUGAAUGAGAACCCCUAGGUCAAGACAAUCACCACCUCCUCAUCGAUUCUUCUCGUUUUUAAAUAGGUUCAUAAAAAUACAAUAUUUUAAUGGAGGAUCUAGAACAGGGGUCUCCAACCCUGGUUCUGGAGAUACCCUCUCCAACCCUGGUUCUGGAGAUACCCUCUCCAACCCUGGUCCUGGAGAGACCCUCCUGUAGGUUUUAACUCCAACCCUGGUCCUGGAGAGAGACCCUCCUGUAGGUUUUAACUCCAACCCUGUUCCUGGAGAUACCCUCCUGUAGGUUUUAACUCCAACCCUGGUCCUGGAGAGAGACCCUCCUGUAGGUUUUAACACCAACCCUGGUCCUGGAGAGAGACCCUCCUGUAGGUUUUAACUCCAACCCUGGUCCUGGAGAGAGACCCUCCUGUAGGUUUUAACUCCAACCCUGGUUCUGGAGAGACCCUCUCCAACCCUGUUCCUGGAGAGAGACCCUCCUGUAGGUUUUCACUCCAACCCUGUUCCUGGAGAGAGACCCUCCUGUAGGUUUUAACUCCAUUAAUAUCAGGUAGAUCAGGGUUGGAGCAAAAACCUACAAGACAGUAGGACUCCAAGAACAGGGUUGGAGAACCCCAUAGAGAUAGAUAGAUGACUCAUCUUUGUAUCUGUGCCAAGAUAGGUGAGCAGGGCCAUUUUGAAGUAGUACGUUUUCUUCUUCACGAUUGGCUGAUUCCUCCUGAUGACCCGGUUGGACUCCAACUUAAUUUAUUUAACUACAUAAAAAUGGUGUAAGUCCUCAAUGGCGCUGUCCAUGUUAAAUGGCCUUUUGGCCACUAGAGGCCUCUAUCAUUCUCUAUGGAGAACCUUGAUGUAGACUAGAGACGAGAUGUUUCAUAGAGGUCAGACUCCGAGGUCAUGGUUAGAGAGUUCAGAGGGGGAUUUCUCCAAACAAAAAAUGUCACACAGACUUUACGCAACUAACUUGACGUCGUGUCGUAGUUUACCACUGGGCUACGUUUCUCAUCAACCACAUGAUCAACCAACAGCAUCAACCACAUGAUCAAACAACAGCAUCAACCACAUGAUCAAACAACAGCAUCAACCACAUGAUCAAACAACAGCAUCAACCACAUGAUCAACCAACAGCAUCAACCACAUGAUCAACCAACAGCAUCAACCACAUGAUCAAACAACAGCAUCAACC
ensembl:lncRNA